rnacentral:lncRNA from 1 species
ACGUGAGAAACGCAGCGCAGAGCGGUGUCUUUCUUUCUCUCGCCAGAAGCCCUCGAGCCCCAGGAUAAACAGACGCAGCAAACCGCUCCCGUGAGCGCUGCCCCAGAAACCCAUUGGACGCUGCGGCGACAGAAUUGCUUCUGUGACCCGUGCCAAGCCUCUCUCGUCCCGUCGAAGUCUCUGUUCGAGUCGGUCACAAAAGAGAGGAAUCCACUCGUCAGAAGUGCCCUGCGCGUUGAACCGCAUCGCUGCUGGACGGGGAUGUAGUCACCGGCAGACGAAGGGGAGAGUCUGCCUGGGGUUGAGGCGGCUACUUUCGAAGCAGACACCGCAGCCCACCGAGCCCCUUUGGGACGAGACGCGAAGAUUGCAGCCGCGCUUCGCAUGCUUCUGUAGAAACAUCCAAGAGAAGACCGGGAGAUGGUGGAGACGCGCGCGCAGCUCUGCGCCCGACACGGAGUGCAUGACCAGCGAACCUCCGUGAAGCGAAAGAGUUUUCCGAGAAGGCGAAUAGCAGGGAAGGCAGACAGUGUGGAUUGCAGAAGCGCCAGUGAAGGCACACAAAAGAAAACAGCGCUCGUUUGUAAUGCCCACAAUUUCCGUGAUGCGGAAAACUCGAAAGACCCUAAUAUGCCAGUACGCAAGGUGUGCCUGAGAGAACAGGAACUUUAGACAGCCCGUUCGAAAGCACUAGAAUGCCGUGCGCUCGGUUCUUUUCCUCAAAUCUGAGAUUGUGAUCGGGGACUACACAAGACCUGCUUCAAGACACCACGACCACGAACACUUGAUGAACCAUAAUGGUGACAGCCGCUUCCGCGGCUGGAAUAUAAGAAGCUCGAAACGAAUGCACCAAUGAGAGUGGGGAGUGAUCUCUUCGAACGGCGAAGAACUCGAAAGUGAGAGGAGGGAAGAAGUGGAGGGUGAAGACAGAUAAACAACAGCGGGGAAAGCUCCUGCGCAGAGUGGGAAGAACCUGACAAGAAGAUGCUCGAGACAAGCGCGACGAAAGAGCAGAUUGAAGACUUCGAAGAAGAGAAGAUAACCAGGAACAAUAUGACAGAAUUUAAAUGAAAGAAGGAAGCCAACUGAGAGAGCAAUGGAAGCAAACCAGCGAAACACACCUUUUUUUCAACCACAUGCUAAUUCAACAGCGGUUCAAUUUGCGCAUGCACACCGGGAAAAGAAAACGAAAAAAAGCGCUCAAACUUGAUUGGCUAGCUCAGCACCAGCUGCCACAAUUAGAUUUCGCUAUAGAGCAAAACAACACACUUCUUUCGGCUAAAAUCGUAAACGGAAGAAGCUCGAUCCUACAUACACAGCAUGAAUCGCAAUCGUGUGAACCUUCACUCUUCUCAAUACUACCCAAGUGUCGCUGAGCUUUUUUUGUCUUGUGCACUGUAACACUGUUGGUCUUGAACAUGAGAUCCCGACUCGGUAGUUGAGGUAUCGUUUUCCAACCAGCUGCAGUGUUUCUGCCUUGCCAGCUGGCUCUUGGGUACAGCGUGCCCUAUCCACCCUCAAGAACGGAAUCGCGUAAGCACUCGAAGAUGCUUGGAGCAAGUCUGUUUGGGAGUCAUGUCCUUACUGCAGUGCCUUGGCUGGAUCACCAUAGAUGUCCCUUUGAAGUAUUUGUGGCCCCGGAAAACGUAGAGUUCAGCUGGCGGCUCAUCAUGUAGGUGUAUGUUCUCGGGAGAUGCCAUUAUGCGAGUAUUCCCAGUUGUUUCUAUGAGGCUGCAAACAUGAAAGUACAAACGUAUGCCCAGUAGAGUCUAUGUUAAACGCCUUCAUCUGUUGAUUGGGGCAACACAGUGUGAUGACAAAGAAAGAUAACGUCACGCCAACUUCCCGUAUUCGUUUAGAACAUCCACGCACUUCCGACUGUCGCGCUUGACAUACUGCCUGACCGUCAGCCUCAUCUUCCAGGGCAAACGGCUGUCCGAAACUGUUGCAGGUAGCGGGGACUACCACGUGUGGCUGGAUGGCGAAACGCGUCGUGUUUCGUUGAGCUGUUUAACUACGCACCCGUGAAGCAGCAAAUGCGAGGGGGCCACCAUGGCGUGGCACCAAAAAUUCGUUGUUUGGCUCAGACCUUGCCCUCUCAGUUCUUUCGUCCAGUCGAACGGUGAACUUCCUUCUUCCUCAGCUAUUCCUGCCUUUUUCUUGGAAUGACGAUACCUCUAGAAAAUUAACCCUAUAACGAGUUGCUCUUGCAUAGAAGUGUGUGUGUCUCAGUGUGCGGGGUUGCAUUGACCAGCAGAUAUGACUGGCAGUUUGUUCGG